ACUCCUACGGGAGGCAGCAGUCGGGAAUUUUGCGCAAUGGGGGAAACCCUGACGCAGCAAUACCGCGUGUGGGAUGAAGGCCUUCGGGUCGUAAACCACUUUUUUCGGGGACGAUAAUGACGGUACCCGAAGAAUAAGCCACGGCUAACUACGUGCCAGCAGCCGCGGUAAU
rnacentral:rRNA from 1 species